rnacentral:lncRNA from 1 species
CGAAAGUGUCAACAGCGAAUCUUGUUGCUCAGCUAUUGCAGACUUCCUACAAGGUAGAAGAAGGCUAAAAAGCCAAAUGAGGAGCUCAUUGAGCAUGUUCACAACAAAUCUUGCUGCUAAGCUAUUAUAGACUUCAUAGAUGGUAGAAAGCUAGGAGCCAAGUGAGGAGCUCAUUGAGCAUGUUCCCUUAAUUUCGCCAGUCUGAAGGUGUAUUGUAUGCAUCAUCCCCACAUGCAGCUUCAUCAAUUCCACCACUCUCGAUUACUUCUUCGGGGUCAGGGGGAAAGCCCUGGAUCUGGCCCUCCUGCUGCAUAAGAAGUACGAACAUUGAACAUAUAUCAAUAUAAUGGCCAACAAAGGACUAAACAUAAGCUCCACUCAGGCUAUAAGUGUAGAGACCCCAUUUAGGGCUAGUUUAACUGGAGAGGAUUGAAGGGGUUAAAACCCCUUUUCUUAUUCAAAAUUAAAUAAGAAAGAAUUUUAGUCCCUCCAUUUCCCUCCGGUAUUUUAGCUUCCAAGCUAGCGGCAGGCCACUUACCAACAGGUCUCAUUGGUAG